AAGGAAUAUUGGUCAAUGGACGCAAGUCUGAACCAGCCAUGCCGCGUGAAGGAUGAAGGUCCUCUGGAUUGUAAACUUCUUUUAUCUGGGACGAACACGGGAUUUUUAUCUCAAUUGACGGUACCAGAGGAAUAAGCACCGGCUAACUCCGUGCCAGCAGCCGCGGUAAUACGGAGGGUGCGAGCGUUAUCCGGAUUUACUGGGUUUAAAGGGUGCGUAGGUGGGCUUAUAAGUCAGUGGUGAAAUCUCCGAGCUUAACUUGGAAACUGCCGUUGAUACUAUAGGUCUUGAAUUAUCUGGAGGUAAGCGGAAUAUGUCAUGUAGCGGUGAAAUGCUUAGAUAUGACAUAGAACACCAAUUGCGAAGGCAGCUUACUACAUAUAAAUUGACGCUGAGGCACGAAAGCGUGGGGAUCAAACA
rnacentral:rRNA from 1 species